GAGACAGCAGCAGCCACGGGAAUACGUAGGGUGCAAGCGUUAAUCGGAAUUACUGGGCGUAAAGCGUGCGCAGGCGGUUAUAUAAGACAGAUGUGAAAUCCCCGGGCUCAACCUGGGAACUGCAUUUGUGACUGUAUAGCUAGAGUACGGCAGAGGGGGAUGGAAUUCCGCGUGUAGCAGUGAAAUGCGUAGAUAUGCGGAGGAACACCGAUGGCGAAGGCAAUCCCCUGGGCCUGUACUGACGCUCAUGCACGAAAGCGUGGGGAGCAAACAGGAUUAGAUACCCCCGUAGUCCCUGUCUCUUAUAC
rnacentral:rRNA from 1 species